AUUUAAAUAGCUUAAAUUAUAUAAAGUUUGAUAAUGAAGAUAUCAAGAUAAUCAAUUGAUUUUUAAAUA
rnacentral:tRNA from 1 species